rnacentral:rRNA from 1 species
UACGUAGGGUGCAAGCGCUGUCCGGAAUUAUUGGGCGUAAAGAGCUCGUAGGCGGUUUGUUGCGUCGGCUGAGAAAUCCCGAGGCUCAACCUCGGGUCUGCAGUCGAUACGAGCAAACUAGAGUGUUGCAGGGGAGACUGGAAUUCCUGGUGUAGCGGUGAAAUGCGCAGAUAUCAGGAGGAACACCGGUGGCGAAGGCGGGUCUCUGGGCUGACACUGACGCUCAUGCACGAAAGCGUGGGGAGCAAACAGG